CGCGUAGGCGGUUAUUUAAGCUGGAUGUGAAAGCCCCGGGCUCAACCUGGGAACUGCAUUCAGAACUGGAUGGCUAGAGUACGAGAGAGGGUAGUGGAAUUUCCUGUGUAGCGGUGAAAUGCGUAGAUAUAGGAAGGAACAUCAGUGGCGAAGGCGACUGCCUGGCUCGAUACUGACGCUGAGGUGCGAAAGCGUGGGGAGCAAACA
rnacentral:rRNA from 1 species